CUACCUUUAUGGCCUUCAUGCUCCUUCAAGUUAUGUAGUAAAAUUUUAUCCAACAGAUAACUUCUUAGCAAAGCAACCCAGACAGUCUACAUUAUUGUCUCUACAAAUGACCCCACGAGCUAAAAUUUUAGGAUUCCCAAGGCAAGCAUCAUCGGUGUUACGUUUCACCCAUCCAAGGAUUGGAGGAUGCCAAAUGACUUCUUUAAUAGAAGGGGCUCUAGGGGGUGGAUGUUGACUCUAAAGGCUCUGAUAAUUGAGAAGUCAUGCGUUGAAGAAGAUGUAGUCUUUAAAGAAUUGUUGUGAGUGUUUUGGUUGCUGCUAAUUUUGCUCCACAUAUCAAUGAAUUGUUGUGAGUAUUUUGAUCUGAAUCUACAACAAACUUCAUAGAUAAUUGAAUAUAAAUUAAUAAUAUAAGGAAUAUCUUACCUUCUUGAAUAUCAAUUCCCCAUAGUUGUCUUCAUAUAUAGAGAUUUUGACGGUAGAAACCAAAUGGCAGUGUUGAAAAGGAAAAUAUUUGAUUUAAGGCUUAAUACAUCAUUUAGUUCCUUAACUUAUUUUUUUAUUUUCACUUUAGUCCUCUAACUAUAAAGUGUCUCAAUUUGGUCCCAUAAUUUUUCCUCUGUUUACUAAUGUAGUCCUCUUUGUUAAUUUUUUUCAAAAAUUGUUAACCCCUUGUCCACGUGUCAUUUAAGAUUGGCGAUCAAGGGCUGGAUUUAGAAAGCACACAAAUAUAAAAUGAACUCACAACAUAUGAUUAUUUCUAUUGAAUUUUCUAAAAAUUAAAAUUAAAAUAGAAAUAAAAAAAACUCAUUUCCCUUCGUCCUCUUUUUCUUCCUCUUCUCUGUGUUCCCUUCUUCCUCUUCUCUUGUUCAUUCUCCUCCUUCUUUGUUCAUGUUUUCUUCUUCCAAUCUUUCAUAAAAAACUCAUUUUCGAAUUCCAAUCAUUCAUCAUCAACAUCAAUCCUUUCAAAGUCCAAUCUAAACCCAUUUUUGGAUCUAAUCUAAACCCUUCCAAAUUCCAAUAUAAAUCCAUUCUUUUAUGAGCAUUAACCCAUUUUGUUGUUGUUGGGGAGCAGAUUUGGACCGGAUUUAUUGUGUUGUGUUGUUGUUGAUAUGUUGUUGUUGUUGUUCCCGAAGAGGAUGCUUGUGGUAACGGCAAAUUUGGUUGGUAAAAAGGAAAUGAUGUGAUGAUGAAUUGAAUCCGAAAGAGCAUUGAUUCUGUCUUCUCCUGAAAUUGAAAACCGCGUCUGGCUUGAUGGCCACCGUGACAUUUCCAUCAGUGAGGAACGGAUCGCAACAACAUUUCCAAUCACACGGAAUCACUAGUAGUCAAUGGAGUUUGGAAUUUGGUGUCUUUUUAUCCUAUAUAGAAGAUGAACAAAAUUUUGAAAUUAUAAUUUUUGAGGUGCUAUAAGAUGAGAGAGUUUUGGAAUUUUAUUACUAAGUUUUGCUGAAAAUUUUAUGGGGUUUCUGAAAAAUAUUUUGUGAAGGAUUUUUCUGGAUCGAUGAUAGCUAUGAAAUUUUGAGUCUUGUAAUUUUCUGGAAUUUGUUGUGUUGGGGUUUCUGAAAAAUAGAUAUGAAAUUUUGAAAUUUUUUGGAUUUCUGUUUAAGAUGAAGAUGGAGAUGAAAGAAAGAUGUAGAUGAAGAAUAUUGGGACGGGAAGAAG
rnacentral:lncRNA from 1 species